rnacentral:rRNA from 1 species
GACGAACGCUGGCGGCGUGCUUAACACAUGCAAGUCGAACGGAAAGGCCCUGCUUUUGUGGGGUGCUCGAGUGGCGAACGGGUGAGUAACACGUGAGUAACCUGCCCUUGACUUUGGGUUAACUUCGGGAAACUGGGGCUAAUACCGGAUAGGAGCUCCUGCUGCAUGGUGGGGGUUGGAAAGUUUCGGCGGUUGGGGAUGGACUCGCGGCUUAUCAGCUUGUUGGUGGGGUAGUGGCUUACCAAGGCUUUGACGGGUAGCCGGCCUGAGAGGGUGACCGGCCACAUUGGGACUGAGAUACGGCCCAGACUCCUACGGGAGGCAGCAGUGGGGAAUAUUGCACAAUGGGCGGAAGCCUGAUGCAGCAACGCCGCGUGCGGGAUGACGGCCUUCGGGUUGUAAACCGCUUUCGCCUGUGACGAAGCGUGAGUGACGGUAAUGGGUAAAGAAGCACCGGCUAACUACGUG